rnacentral:rRNA from 1 species
ACUCCUACGGGAGGCAGCAGUGGGGAUAUUGCACAAUGGGGGAAACCCUGAUGCAGCAACGCCGCGUGAGUGAUGAAGGUCUUCGGAUCGUAAAGCUCUGUCUUCAGGGACGAUAAUGACGGUACCUGAGGAGGAAGCCACGGCUAACUACGUGCCAGCAGCCGCGGUAAUACGUAGGUGGCGAGCGUUGUCCGGAUUUACUGGGCGUAAAGGGAGCGUAGGCGGAUUUUUAAGUAAGAUGUGAAAUACCCGGGCUCAACUUGGGUGCUGCAUUUCAAACUGGAAGUCUAGAGUGCAGGAGAGGAGAGUGGAAUUCCUAGUGUAGCGGUGAAAUGCGUAGAGAUUAGGAAGAACACCAGUGGCGAAGGCGACUCUCUGGACUGUAACUGACGCUGAGGCUCGAAAGCGUGGGGAGCAAACAGGAUUAGAUACCCUGGUAGUC